CCUACGGGAGGCUGCAGUGGGGAAUAUUGGACAAUGGGGGCAACCCUGAUCCAGCCAUGCCGCGUGUGUGAAGAAGGCCCUCGGGUUGUAAAGCACUUUCAGUGAGGAAGAACGCCUGGUGGUUAAUACCCAUCAGGAAAGACAUCACUCACAGAAGAAGCACCGGCUAACUCCGUGCCAGCAGCCGCGGUAAUACGGAGGGUGCGAGCGUUAAUCGGAAUUACUGGGCGUAAAGCGCGCGUAGGUGGCUUGAUAAGCCGGUUGUGAAAGCCCCGGGCUCAACCUGGGAACGGCAUCCGGAACUGUCAAGCUAGAGUGCAGGAGAGGAAGGUAGAAUUCCCGGUGUAGCGGUUAAAUGCGUAGAGAUCGGGAGGAAUACCAGUGGCGAAGGCGGCCUUCUGGACUGACACUGACACUGAGGUGCGAAAGCGUGGGUAGCAAACAGGAUUAGAUACCCGAGUAGUC
rnacentral:rRNA from 1 species